AGUUAUAUAGUUUUAAAAAAAAAUAUUAAUUUUGUAAAUUAAUGAUAAAUAAUAAAUUUUUAUAACUU
rnacentral:tRNA from 1 species